rnacentral:tRNA from 1 species
AUCUUUCUAGUAUUAAACUAGUACAUGUGACUUCCAAUCACCUAGUCUUGGUGAAACUCCAAGGAAAGAUA